rnacentral:tRNA from 1 species
AGUGCAGAACGCGAAGUGGCCGAGCGACCAGUCUUUCAAACUGGUGAUUAGCGGGUUCAAGCCCCGUCUGCAUUACCA